CCUACGGGCGGCUGCAGUGGGGAAUAUUGGACAAUGGGGGCAACCAUGAUCCAGCCAUGCCGCGUGUGUGAAGAAGGCCCUCGGGUUGUAAAGCACUUUCAGUGAGGAAGAACGCCUGGUGGUUAAUACCCAUCAGGAAAGACAUCACUCACAGAAGAAGCACCGGCUAACUCCGUGCCAGCAGCCGCGGUAAUACGGAGGGUGCGAGCGUUAAUCGGAAUUACUGGGCGUAAAGCGCGCGUAGGUGGCUUGAUAAGCCGGUUGUGAAAGCCCCGGGCUCAACCUGGGAACGGCAUCCGGAACUGUCAAGCUAGAGUGCAGGAGAGGAAGGUAGAAUUCCCGGUGUAGCGGUGAAAUGCGUAGAGAUCGGGAGGAAUACCAGUGGCGAAGGCGGCCUUCUGGACUGACACUGACACUGAGGUGCGAAAGCGUGGGUAGCAAACAGGAUUAGAUACCCCAGUAGUC
rnacentral:rRNA from 1 species